UNUGACUUGAGUGCAGAAGGGGAGAGUGGAAUUCCAUGUGUAGCGGUGAAAUGCGUAGAUAUAUGGAGGAACACCAGUGGCGAAAGCGGCUNUCUGGUCUGUCACAGACGCUGAGGCUCGAAAGCGUGGGUAGCGAACAGGAUUAGAUACCCUGGUAGUCCACGCCGUAAACGAUGAGUGCUAGGUGUUAGGCCCUUUCCGGGGCUUAGUGCCGGAGCUAACGCAAUAAGCACUCCGCCUGGGGAGUACGACCGCAAGGUUGAAACUCAAAGGAAUUGACGGGGGCCCGCACAAGCUGUGGAGCAUGUGGUUUAAUUCGAAGCAACGCGAAGAACCUUACCAGGUCUUGACAUCCCGAUGCUAUUCUUAGAGAUAGGAAGUUACUUCGGUACAUCGGAGACAGGUGGUGCAUGGUUGUCGUCAGCUCGUGUCGUGAGAUGUUGGGUUAAGUCCCGCAACGAGCGCAACCCUUAUUGUUAGUUGCCAUCAUUAAGUUGGGCACUCUAGCGAGACUGCCGGUAAUAAACCGGAGGAAGGUGGGGAUGACGUCAAAUCAUCAUGCCCCUUAUGACCUGGGCUACACACGUGCUACAAUGGUCGGUACAACGAGUUGCGAGCCGGUGACGGCAAGCUAAUCUCUGAAAGCCGAUCUCAGUUCGGAUUGGAGGCUGCAACUCGCCUCCAUGAAGUCGGAAUCGCUAGUAAUCGCGGAUCAGCACGCCGCGGUGAAUACGUUCCC
rnacentral:rRNA from 1 species